GAUGAACGCUGGCGGCGUGCCUAAUACAUGCAAGUCGAGCGAACAGACGAGGAGCUUGCUCCUCUGACGUUAGCGGCGGACGGGUGAGUAACACGUGGAUAACCUACCUAUAAGACUGGGAUAACUUCGGGAAACCGGAGCUAAUACCGGAUAAUAUAUUGAACCGCAUGGUUCAAUAGUGAAAGACGGUUUUGCUGUCACUUAUAGAUGUAUCCGCGCCGCAUUAGCUAGUUGGUAAGGUAACGGCUUACCAAGGCAACGAUGCGUAGCCGACCUGAGAGGGUGAUCGGCCACACUGGAACUGAGACACGGUCCAGACUCCUACGGGAGGCAGCAGUAGGGAAUCUUCCGCAAUGGGCGAAAGCCUGACGGAGCAACGCCGCGUGAGUGAUGAAGGACUUCGGAUCGUAAAACUCUGUUAUUAGGGAAGAACAAAUGUGUAAGUAACUAUGCACGUCUUGACGGUACCUAAUCAGAAAGCCACGGCUAACUACGUG
rnacentral:rRNA from 1 species